CCAAGGGCAGAGGAGCGAAAGAAUGACCUGAAAGAUGGGACGGAAGAGAGAACACUACUUUGUCAGCCUGGUGCCUGAAGGUCCCAUUCCACAGCCAUUGCACUGAAAUAAAGAGCAACUCUGGGCAGGGUUUCUCCUUCCUGCGGGGAUUGGAAGGAGCUGCACUAAGUGUGAGAAAGAGCGGCAUUUGCUUGGAAAUUUGUCUACACACUGUGCAAAGAAAGCUUUACUUAGUAUCAACUCUGGAGAUUGCUUCACAGAGCUAAGGCAGUAGUCGACAUGGCUUGAAUUUUGAAACUCUGAUUCAGGAAUGAAAAUCUGAAACCAAGUUAUCUGCUUUUAUAUACUCUGGCACCAGCCUGCUUAAAAUAAUCCAAGAAUGAAAAUGUGAGCUAAGCUGUUUGUUUUUAUAAACACUGAGCGUGUCUACCCUGAAAUUCCAUUCAACAGUCAUUUACUCUGCAUGAACCACAAAUCAUUUUGACCUUGAAUAUUCAGAUUUUUGAUAAUUCAAUAACUAUAUAUGUUCCAUAUUUAAUAUUUAUUAUACAAAAGAAUGACUUCAAACUGAUAGGAAAUGAACCAUAUCACAUUUUUAAAAAUGUCUAUCAACAUCAAAAUUCACAUAGAACAGAAAAGAAGUUUCAAAAGAUAUUUUGGUCAUAUCCAUUGACAGUCUUAAAGAUAACAAUAUUUGAAUUUUUAUCAUGUUUCUAUCAUAAAAUAGAGAAUUAUAACCCUAACCCUAAAUUGGAAAACAUUUUAGAUGCCAUCUGGUUCAAUAUCCAGCCUAGGAAUUCCUUCCAUAUCAUUCCUGACUGGAGGAUAUCUAGUAUUUGCUUCAAGACUUCUAGUGAUAGUUAACUUCAUGGGAUCUCAUUCCACAUUUGAGCAGCUCCAGUUUGGUUGUUCAUUAUUAUGUUCAACUGAAACAAUAUUCUGCAUAACUUCCACUGAUUUGUCCUAUUUCUGACUUCUGAAAUUACCCAGGAAAGAAAUCAACACCUCUUCCACCUGACAGCACUUCAAAUAAAUACC